UGGGGAAUAUUGCACAAUGGGCGCAAGCCUGAUGCAGCGACGCCGCGUGAGGGAUGACGGCCUUCGGGUUGUAAACCUCUUUCAGUAGGGAACAAGCCUUCGGGUGAGGGUACCUGCAGAAGAAGCGCCGGCUAACUACGUGCCAGCAGCCGCGGUAAUACGUAGGGCGCAAGCGUUGUCCGGAAUUAUUGGGCGUAAAGAGCUCGUAGGCGGUUUGUCGCGUCUGCUGUGAAAACGCGAGGCUUAACCUCGCGCCUGCAGUGGGUACGGGCAGACUAGAGUGCGGUAGGGGAGACUGGAAUUCCUGGUGUAGCGGUGGAAUGCGCAGAUAUCAGGAGGAACACCGGUGGCGAAGGCGGGUCUCUGGGCCGUUACUGACGCUGAGGAGCGAAAGCAUGGGGAGCGAACAGGAUUAGAUACCCUGGUAGUCCA
rnacentral:rRNA from 1 species